GACAGAGGAUGCAAGCGUUAUCCGGAAUGAUUGGGCGUAAAGCGUCUGUAGGUGGCUUUUCAAGUCCGCCGUCAAAUCCCAGGGCUCAACCCUGGACAGGCGGUGGAAACUACCAAGCUAGAGUACGUUCGGGGCAGAGGGAAUUCCUGGUGUAGCGGUGAAAUGCGUAGAGAUCAGGAAGAACACCGGUGGCGAAGGCGCUCUGCUAGGCCGUAACUGACACUGAGGGACGAAAGCUAGGGGAGCGAAUGGG
rnacentral:rRNA from 1 species